GGAGGAUGAGUAGAGUGGCGCACGGGUGAGUAACACGUGGAUAAUCUGUCUUCGGGAACGGGAUAACCAAUCGAAAGGCUGGCUAAAACCGUAUGAAGUUUUGUAUUGCAGGAUACAGAAUGAAAAGGUGCCUCUGAUAUACGCAUCUGCUUGAAGGUGAGUCCGCGUCCCAUUAGCUUGCUGGUGGGGUAAGAGCCUACCAGGGCGACGAUGGGUAGCUGGUCUGAGAGGAUGAUCAGCCACACUGGAACUGAAACACGGUCCAGACUCCUACGGGAGGCAGCAGUGAGGGAUUUUGCGCAAUGGGGGAAACCCUGACGCAGCAACGCCGCGUGAGUGAAGAAGGCCUUUGGGUCGUAAAGCUCUGUCAACAGGGAAGAAGUUACUGUAUAUGAACAGUGUAUGGUAUUGACGGUACCUGUGGAGGAAGCACCGGCUAACUCCGUGCCAGCACGCCGCGGUAACACGGGGGGUGCAAGCGUUAUUCGGAAUUAUUGGGCGUAAAGGGCGCGCAGGCGGUCUUGCCGGUCAGGUGUGAAAGCCCGGGGCUCAACCCCGGAAGAGCAUUUGAAACAGCAAGACUUGAGUACAGGAGAGGAAAGCGGAAUUCCUGGUGUAGAGGUGAAAUUCGUAGAUAUCAGGAGGAACACCCAUGGCGAAGGCAGCUUUCUGGACUGAUACUGACGCUGAGGCGCGAAGGUGUGGGUAGCGAACAGGAUUAGAUACCCUGGUAGUCCACGCCGUAAACGAUGAAUGCUCGCCGUUGCUUCGUUAGGGGGCAGUGGCUAAGCUAACGCGUUAAGCAUUCCGCCUGGGGAGUACGAUCGCAAGGUUGAAACUCAAAGGAAUUGACGGGGGCCCGCACAAGCGGUGGAGCAUGUGGCUCAAUUCGAUGCAACGCGAAGAACCUUACCUAGGCUCGAACGCUAGGCGCUCGCUCCUGAAAGGGAGCUUUCCGCAAGGACGCCUAGCGAGGUACUGCAUGGCUGUCGUCAGCUCGUGUCGUGAGAUGUUGGGUUAAGUCCCGCAACGAGCGUAACCCCUGUUGCUAGUUUACCAGCGGAUCAUGCCGGGGACUCUAGCGAAACUGCCUGCGCAAGCAGUGAGGAAGGUGGGGAUGACGUCAAGUCAUCAUGGUCCUUACGCCUAGGGCUGCACACGUGCUACAAUGGCCGGUACAACGAGCAGCUACCUCGCGAGAGGCAGCGAAUCUCUGAAAGCCGGUCCCAGUUCAGAUUGGAGUCUGCAACUCGACUCCAUGAAGCAGGAAUCGCUAGUAAUCGCGGAUCAGCAAUGCCGCGGUGAAUACGUUCCCGGGCCUUGUACACACCGCCCGUCAAGCCAUGGAAGCUGAGAGCACCCGAAGUCCGUGACCCAACCUUUGCGGGAGGGAGCGGCCGAAGGUGAGCUCAGUGACUGGGGCUAAGUCGUAACAAGG
rnacentral:rRNA from 1 species